AGUAACGGCGAGUGAAGCGGCAACAGCUCAAAUUUGAAAUCUGGCGUCUUCGACGUCCGAGUUGUAAUUUGCAGAGGGCGCUUUGGCAUUGGCAGCGGUCCCAGUUCCUUGGAACAGGACGUCACAGAGGGUGAGAAUCCCGUACGUGGUCGCUCGCCUUUACCGUGUAAAGCCCCUUCGACGAGUCGAGUUGUUUGGG
rnacentral:rRNA from 1 species